rnacentral:rRNA from 1 species
GACGAACGCUGGCGGCGUGCUUAACACAUGCAAGUCGAACGGAAAGGCCCCCUUGUGGGGUACUCGAGUGGCGAACGGGUGAGUAACACGUGAGUAACCUACCCUUGACUUUGGGAUAACUUCAGGAAACUGGGGCUAAUACCGGAUAGGAGCUCCUGCUGCAUGGUGGGGGUUGGAAAGUUUCGGCGGUUGGGGAUGGGCUCGCGGCUUAUCAGCUUGUUGGUGGGGUAGUGGCUCACCAAGGCUUUGACGGGUAGCCGGCCUGAGAGGGUGACCGGCCACAUUGGGACUGAGAUACGGCCCAGACUCCUACGGGAGGCAGCAGUGGGGAAUAUUGCACAAUGGGCGGAAGCCUGAUGCAGCAACGCCGCGUGCGGGAUGACGGCCUUCGGGUUGUAAACCGCUUUCGCCUGUGACGAAGUGUGAGUGACGGUAAUGGGUAAAGAAGCACCGGCUAACUACGUG